AAUCAACGCUGGCGGCGUGCCUAACACAUGCAAGUCGAACGCGAAAGUCCCGCAAGGGAUUAGUAGAGUGGCAAACGGGUGAGUAACACGUGGGUGACCUGCCUUCGAGCGGGGAUAACGUCCCGAAAGGGACGCUAAUACCGCAUAACAUCCUGCCUUUUAAGAGGCGGUGAUCAAAGCCGGGGAUUCGCAAGAACCUGGCACUUGAAGAGGGGCCCGCGCCUGAUUAGCUAGUUGGGAGGUAAUGGCUCACCAAGGCGACGAUCAGUAGCUGGUCUGAGAGGAUGAUCAGCAUCACUGGGACUGAGACACGGCCCAGACUCCUACGGGAGGCAGCAGUGGGAAUAUUGGACAAUGGGCGCAAGCCUGAUCCAGCCAUGCCGCGUGGAUGAUGAA
rnacentral:rRNA from 1 species